GAAGAACAAAUGUGUAAGUAACUAUGCACGUCUUGACGGUACCUAAUCAGAAAGCCACGGCUAACUACGUGCCAGCAGCCGCGGUAAUACGUAGGUGGCAAGCGUUAUCCGGAAUUAUUGGGCGUAAAGCGCGCGUAGGCGGUUUUUUAAGUCUGAUGUGAAAGCCCACGGCUCAACCGUGGAGGGUCAUUGGAAACUGGAAAACUUGAGUGCAGAAGAGGAAAGUGGAAUUCCAUGUGUAGCGGUGAAAUGCGCAGAGAUAUGGAGGAACACCAGUGGCGAAGGCGACUUUCUGGUCUGUAACUGACGCUGAUGUGCGAAAGCGUGGGGAUCAAACAGGAUUAGAUACCCUGGUAGUCCACGCCGUAAACGAUGAG
rnacentral:rRNA from 1 species